rnacentral:rRNA from 1 species
AACGAACGCUGGCGGCAUGCCUAACACAUGCAAGUCGAACGAGACCUUCGGGUCUAGUGGCGCACGGGUGCGUAACGCGUGGGAACCUGCCCUUAGGUUCAGAAUAACUCCCCGAAAGGGGUGCUAAUACCGGAUAAUGUCUUCGGACCAAAGAUUUAUCGCCUUUGGAUGGGCCCGCGUUGGAUUAGCUAGUUGGUAGGGUAAAAGCCUACCAAGGCGACGAUCCAUAGCUGGUCUGAGAGGAUGAUCAGCCACACUGGGACUGAGACACGGCCCAGACUCCUACGGGAAGCAGCAGUGGGGAAUAUUGGACAAUGGGCGAAAGCCUGAUCCAGCAAUGCCGCGUGAGUGAUGAAGGCCUUAGGGUUGUAAAGCUCUUUUACCCGGGAUGAUAAUGACAGUACCGGGAGAAUAAGCGCCGGCUAACUCCGUG